rnacentral:rRNA from 1 species
GACGAACGCUGGCGGCGUGCUUAACACAUGCAAGUCGAACGGAAAGGCCCUGCUUUUGUGGGGUGCUCGAGUGGCGAACGGGUGAGUAACACGUGAGUAACCUGCCCUUGACUUUGGGAUAACUUCAGGAAACUGGGGCUAAUACCGGCAAGGAGCUCCUGCCGCAUGGUGGGGGUUGGAAAGUUUCGGUGGUUGGGGAUGGACUCGCGGCUUAUCAGCUUGUUGGUGGGGUAGUGGCUUACCAAGGCUAUGACGGGUAGCCGGCCUGCGAGGGUGACCGGCCACGUUGGGACUGAGAUGCGGCCCAGACUCCUACGGGAGGCAGCAGUGGGGAAUAUUGCACAGUGGGCGGAAGCCUGAUGCAGCAACGCCGCGUGCGGGAUGACGGCCUUCGGUUUGUAAACCGCUUUCGCCUGUGACGAAGCGUGAGUGACGGUAAUGGGUAAAGAAGCACCGGCUAACUACGUG